GAGACUUGGCGACUCGCUGCCUCAGGGUUGCGUGCCUCCGGCCCUAGCCUGCGCAGGCGGCCUGAGCUUGGGGCUCUGCUACGCCACCCACGCCCACCUUGGCGGAGGGCGGGGCCCCACGGCUCUCAAACUUGCGCGCCAAAGACGGAGCCACCUGGCGUACUGGUGGAAAGCGCAGACUUCAGAGCCACACCCGUAGUUAAGUAUUCGGACUCUGAGAUUCCAGGGUGGGGCCCAGGCCAUCCGCGUUUUCACCCAGCAUCGUGUGAUUCGGCAGCAGGUGGUCUGUGGCCCGCACUUUGAGAAACCCUGGUGCAGAAGGUUCAUGGUUAGUGGUUCUCUCUGGAAGGAACAGUCUAAGGUUUGUAGGACUUGCGUUCCACCUACCAAAGCUAAUCGAGUUAGAAGGCUCCAAACUGAGGUGUCAUUUCUCAUUACGGUGGUGAGAGGACGGGACCACACACUGUGAAGUCUUCGUUCCCACAUCCCACACUUCAUUCUUGCCGCCUAAGUUGUCGCCGUGGGACUAUUGAAAGGGUAUCAGCGAUAUUCAUCUUUCCUAUAAAUGGGAUCUGCUUUCUACAGUUUCCUGCCAGAUGUGUAAAGAUUGCAAGAAUUGAAGGUAUUUCUUCAACUGAAGACCUUUACAGAUACUCAGAUGACUGAAAUCCUCUUAUCACUGGCUGGACAUGGUGGCUCACGCCUGUAAUCCCAGCACUUUGGGAGGCUGAGGCAGAUUCAUCAUCUGAGGUCAGGAGUUCGAGACCACCCUGGCCAACAUGGUGAAACCCUGUGUCUACUAAAACCACAAAAAAUUAGCUGGGCAUUGUGGCAGGCGCUUGUAAUCCCAGCUAUUCCGGAGGCUGAGGCAGGAGAAUCACUUGAACCCAGGAGGUGGAGGUUGCAGUGAGCCGAGAUGGUGCCAUUGCACUCCAGCCUGGGCAGCAAGAGUGAAACUCCAUCUCAAAAAAGAAAAAAAAUCCUCUAUUACUAUAUAACUACUUUUAUGUACCAAUUUGUAGUCUCAAAAAUAUACCAUCAAUUUAUUAUAUCCAGUGGGGGAAAUUUGUAAAUAUUCAAAAUACCAUUUUUCCCUUUGCCCUCUCACCCAAGUUUAUUCUGUGCUUCAAUAAAUUUAUGGUUCUAUACAGAUAUGUUGUCAUGUACAUCUGGAACUAUACUUAAUCAGCUAUUUGUUUUCCAAGAACAAGGUUAUGUGCUCUAUUGUCAGGCACAUAUAAUGAAGAAUGUGUGAUUUGAGAUGAUUUAUAAAAGCUUAUCAUAUACAUACUUUUUUUUGCAUUUAAUUUACUAGCAUGUGACACAACCCUGUUUUAAAUUCUGUCUCCCCAUUACCUCUAUUCCCUGUUCAAUUGCCCUUCCUUCCUCCAUCAUUCAUCUCCUUGUGAUAUAACAGAUACAUCUAAGGUAUCAUUUUAUCGUUCUAAGCAGAUAUUAUUCUAUUUUUUCCCCUCCAUUUGCAAUAUAAAGUAUUCUUGAUCAAACUGACCUGGGUAAUUAACCUUUCUGAUUUACUCUAGCUACAAGCCCAUAAUUCAAAGUAUCUUAAGCCAAAAUUUAGUGUAGAGUUGGCAAAUAAAUAUCACAUAUGCAGCCCUUCCUCCUUCCCAUGCUCGUGGCAGACUACGCUAUUUUCUGCCAUGUCCAGACACAGCUCCUUGAUACAGCACUCUAAGCCACCCUUUUCUAGACAUCUCAGUCUCACUAGUACUUACAGGAACCAGCUAAGCUGCUAGAUUUUAUAAGUAUUACCAAGUUUUCUGCCAUGGUUACAUAAUUCAAGACAGCACAAUUCUUUAUUAACCAUGUCAAGUCCAAAUGCUUAUUUUUAAAUAAACAGAAAUAAGAGCUAUUAUACUUCAGGGUAUCAGGAAAAUCUUUCAAUAGUUCAAACUGACUGCUGAGUUUCAAAAUUUAAGUUACAUCAGGUUUAUUUUUCAAAGCAACACUCAGAGCUAAAGCUAAACAAAUCUAACCUGUCAACUGAAAGCAUUACCUCCAGGUCUGUUUGCUUCUGUAGUUUUUGUAUCAUAUUCAUAGUCUUUUUCACAGUAGCACAAAUGCGGCUCUUACUCUCUUUCUGCUCAACAGCAACUGGUUUAAAGCGGGCAUACAAAGUUUGAUAUCGAGACUUUAUCACUGACAAUUCCUUUAAGAGUGUAACUGGAUUUUUCUAUGUCAGGAAAAAAGUGAACAUGUAUUAAAUUAUGAAAGAUUAAACUUUUUAAGAAUUAAAAUACUGUAUACAUACAACACAUUCUACCAUCCAUUUAAUUGAACACUGUUGAGUAUUUAAUUAUGCAGCCACAUGACAUCAGAUGGGAGGUGGGGAAGAGAGAAAAGUAUAAGACCUAGAUCCUAU
rnacentral:lncRNA from 1 species